CAGGUUAGUUUGUCAGUCAGUUAAUUGGUCUACACGUUCACAGAUCUAUAUUUUAUUUAUGAUAAUAUACUGUAUCUAAUUACACAAGGCUAUCUUGGGACCUAGGUGAAAAAACUGCUUUUAAUACUGGCGUUACUUUGUAUAUAUUACAAUACAUUUGGCAAUGCUGCUGGACUUUAAAAGCAGUGUAUAUGGUUUGGCAGGGCUUGUUUUAUUGGCCAUUGGGCUGGUUUUGUCACACAGACCUGGCAACCCUGCUCACGUAGGACCACCAAACGUCGUCGUGUUUUGUAUUAAAUAGCAUCCGUAGGCGCAGACAGUUGAAUUUCACCGACUUCUACAGGAACUGCGUCUGGAUCACUGCCGCUUCCGCGGUACAUGCUGCUAGCCGUUAGGCCGUUUGACAAUACAAUUACCCAUAAAAAGGCACAUAUGUUUGUAUGUAAUUUGUGUCUUUCCUGGACCUGUUGCAAUAUAAGUACGGCUCGUACAGCUCGAGUACCGCUAUUUCCAGGUAAUACUUUCGACAAUACGAUAUGUAAUGUAAUUCCUACAUUUACAGCCUGUAAAUUAGUCAGUGAAAGUGAGAAAUUAAAUAUACUAAACGUUAGAUAUCAAAACACCUAUUUUGUAUUUACACAUUGUUCAUUUGUAACUAACCUUAAAUAUUCGUGAAAUAUUUUCUAUGGAUAUAUCAAUUUCCCGCAGCUGGUAGACAUGAGGUUCUCUCCAAACGGUAACCAGUUCAUGCUCCAUGCUAAUGUUCGCUAAAGUUAAACAUUUCUGGACUCCACGCUCUACUAAUGAGCAGUAUGCCUAUAUACUUGACCAUCAACGAAAACCGGUAACGUUUUAAUUUAGCCUAAUGGUAACUUUUUAUUUUGAUCAUCUUAGCUGCUCAGAUCAAACCGAUUUAAUUAUUUAUUUCAUUACAUUCCAAAAAAUCUGAGAUUGACAUUUCAGCAUGUUGAAUUUUGGGUAACGGACAUCAUCAUUCAGUCUAUUCCGGAUAUGAGCACGUGAAUUUGGGAUUACUUUUCAACCACAUUAAUAUUGUACUUUCCUUCAGAGAAGCACAUCGAUAUGGACUCCAGCCUGUUACCCUACUUGGACGUAGAAAGUCAAAUGUUGCAUGGUGGCUAUAGUGACAAGGACAUACAUAACCACUUGGUUUAAGGAUGUGGCUUGAGUCGAGGAGCGUUCAUCAGGAAUAUUCGAAGAUUUUGCAAAGAUCACUGCGAGUGACGGACGAACAACUGGAAGGCGCGGUCUUAAAAUCAGUAAACGAGACUGUAGCAACACUGGCAUGAAAAAAAUUCUAUUGUCGCCAUAUCCAUUGUGACGCAGAUGGCGAGGGAUUUAAAAUCAACACCAUGUGAGGAUGACAAGAUGCCUGACUGGACACACCUGCAUGUCUGCCAAGAAGCAUUGCUGAGAGCUGUUGUAGUCCUUAUUGUGUGUGUGGGUGUGUGCAGUGUACGGAGUCUCGCCCCCGUUUUCAGCAGAACGCACACAGCUAAGUACAACAUUGUGUUACAGAACAAGAAUUUGGCACGCUUGUUUACAGCGAGUGUGUGCGCAUUCAGUGCACACAGAUUGCUGUGACAUGAUUUCUGUUUUUUUUUACAACCGACAGGACACAAAUUGGGGCGUGAGAUCUCAGGCUCCACCGUGAUUCUAUCCACACACAAAAUGCAUGACACAAACAGCAACGGCAGCAUCGGUGUCUAUUGUGCCGCUGCUUCAUCAUCAUGACUCAAAGGAAAGCUGGCACCAGACCCACUUUCCCCUAAUGUGAGGAACCCAUUUCCAGCAAGACCCAUUUAAAAGGAGUCUGAAGCCACCAGGAGGGAAUGUGACUUUUGGCACUGUUAUUGUUAUGGAUACCUGCUGUUCUCAGAUGCAUAUGUGGCUGGAAGUUGUGGGGAUGAUGGUGACUUCUUCCGUUUUGAUUCUAUAUCACUAUCUGAUA
ensembl:lncRNA